rnacentral:rRNA from 1 species
CCUACGGGAGGCAGCAGUAGGGAAUAUUGCUCAAUGGGGGCAACCCUGAAGCAGCAACGCCGCGUGGAGGAUGAAGGUUUUAUGAUUGUUAACUCCUUUUGUUAGAGAAGAUUAUGACGGUAUGUAACGAAUAAUCCCCGGCCAAAUCCGUGCCAGCAGCCGCGGUCCUGCGGCGGGUGCAAGCGUUAAUCGGAAUCACUGGGCGUAAAGGGUGCGUAGGCGGGGUAAUAAGUCCGAUGUGAAAUCCUGUAGCUUAACUACAGAACUGCAGUUGAAACUGGUACUCUGGAGUGUGGGAGAGGUAGGUGGAAUGCUUGGUGUAGGGGUAAAAUCCGUAGAGAUCAAGAAGAAUACUCAUUGCGAAGGCGACCUGCUGGAACAUAACUGACGCUGAUGCACGAAAGCGUGGGGAGCGAACAGGAUUAGAUACCCGGGUAGUC